GAUGAACGCUGGCGGCGUGCCUAAUACAUGCAAGUCGAGCGAACAGACGAGGAGCUUGCUCCUCUGACGUUAGCGGCGGACGGGUGAGUAACACGUGGAUAACCUACCUAUAAGACUGGGAUAACUUCGGGAAACCGGAGCUAAUACCGGAUAAUAUAUUGAACCGCAUGGUUCAAUAGUGAAAGACGGUUUUGCUGUCACUUAUAGAUGGAUCCGCGCCGCGUUGGCUAGUUGGGAGGGUAACGGCCUACCACGGCGGCGAUGCGUAGCCGACCCGAGAGGGUGGUGGGCCACGCUGGAGCUGGGACGCGGUCCGGACUCCUACGGGAGGCAGCAGUAGGGAAUCUUCCGCAAUGGGCGAAAGCCUGACGGAGCGGCGCCGCGUGAGUGAUGAAGGUCUUCGGAUCGUAAAACUCUGUUAUUAGGGAAGAACAAAUGUGUAAGUAACUAUGCACGUCUUGACGGUACCUAAUCAGAAAGCCACGGCUAACUACGUG
rnacentral:rRNA from 1 species